rnacentral:sRNA from 1 species
CGGUUCACUCAAAUUAGGGUGACUUAUAUAGUUAUAAGACCAAGAGUAGUAAGAGUACUUUAUUUACUAAGAAGAUGAGCACAUUUCUCAAAUCCUACAGACUUGAAGAUGACUGCAAAGUCCAAUCCUGGCUUUAAAAAGCCGGCCGCUUAUGUGGCAUGGAGACACUGUAGUACACAAAGGACUCCAUACCAUUAGAUAUAUCUCUUAGUGAAGUUGAAACCUAAAAGAUCCCCUCAAAGUGUGCACUUUUGUUUUGGAAACCUAUGUGUGUGCCUAGUCACAAGCACCUGACAAACAGGCAGUUUGUUUUGAUGCUUACAAUAUUGAUUUUGUACUACUGAUCUGCACAUGAAUUUAUGUUUCCAAUAAACCCUUUAUUAUCUUUGUUUUUUUAUUGGUCAUAAUAGUGGUCAAUUAUAUGUCUGAUAAAGUUAUUGAGAAUGUGUUACACAUUAGUCAGUUUAUACAAUUCUCAUUUAAUUAUGAUUUUUACCCAGUACUUUUAUUUAAAACAAUAUUAGUAUGAUUUGUUUUGUUUUGUUUUGUUUCUUUUUUUCUUUUUUAAUUAAUUUUUUUUAUAACACUGAACAUUAAUCUACUGUGUGUAAUUAAAGGAAUUAUUGUUGUGAAGAAUGGAAGAAAUAGUCUGCACAAUUAUCACUUGAUCCAAUACUGUUCUGUGAUAUCUGAACCUUCCUAUCAUCAUCAUCUUUCCUUUGUGUUCUUCAUGGAACAUAGGACCUCAGUAAAAACUUGCCACUCUCCAUGGUCUCUCGCUAGUUUUUUAAUAUUUCUCAGACUGAGCUUCCUGUAAGCUAAGAAUAGUCACAUUGUGUUUUUCUUUGUGUGAAUUUGUAUCCAAAAUUGUGCACUAACUCAAAAGUUCUUAACUGCUGAAAAAUGGUCGAAUGAUGUACAUUACCUUUAUAGUUAUAUUUAAU